rnacentral:rRNA from 1 species
UACAGAGGGUGCGAGCGUUGUCCGGAAUCACUGGGCGUAAAGGGCGCGUAGGUGGCGCCGCAAGUCCAUGGUGAAAGCUCGAUGCUCAACAUCGAGUCGGCCACGGAGACUGCGGGGCUCGAGCACUGUAGGGGCAGAUGGAAUUCCGGGUGUAGCGGUGGAAUGCGUAGAGAUCCGGAAGAACACCGGUGGCGAAGGCGGUCUGCUGGGCAGUUGCUGACACUGAGGCGCGACAGCGUGGGUAGCGAACAGG